rnacentral:rRNA from 1 species
UACGUAGGUGGCAAGCGUUGUCCGGAAUUAUUGGGCGUAAAGCGCGCGCAGGCGGUCCCUUAAGUCUGAUGUGAAAUCCCACGGCUCAACCGCGGAAGGUCAUUGGAAACUGGGGGACUUGAGUACAGAAGAGGAAAGCGGAAUUCCAAGUGUAGCGGUGAAAUGCGUAGAGAUUUGGAGGAACACCAGUGGCGAAGGCGGCUUUCUGGUCUGUAACUGACGCUGAGGCGCGAAAGCGUGGGGAGCAAACAGG